rnacentral:rRNA from 1 species
AUUGAACGCUGGCGGCAGGCUUAACACAUGCAAGUCGGGCGGAGUGAUGGUGCUUGCACUAUCACUUAGCGGCGGACGGGUGAGUAAUGCUUAGGAAUCUGCCAUUUAGUGGGGGGCAACAUUCCGAAAGGAAUGCUAAUACCGCAUACGUCCUACGGGAGAAAGCAGGGGAUCUUCGGACCUUGCGCUAAAUGAUGAGCCUAAGUCGGAUUAGCUAGUUGGUGGGGUAAAGGCCUACCAAGGCGACGAUCUGUAGCGGGUCUGAGAGGAUGAUCCGCCACACUGGGACUGAGACACGGCCCAGACUCCUACGGGAGGCAGCAGUGGGGAAUAUUGGACAAUGGGCGGAAGCCUGAUCCAGCCAUGCCGCGUGUGUGAAGAAGGCCUUUUGGUUGUAAAGCACUUUAAGCGAGGAGGAGGCUACUAGUACUAAUACUACUGGAUAGUGGACGUUACUCGCAGAAUAAGCACCGGCUAACUCUGUGCCAGCAGCCGCGGUAAUAC